CUAAGGAUGGUUCUUCAGAAGCUUGCUUCUAUCGAACCGUUUUAGAAACAUCAGUGGCCAACGGUCGUCAGGAUCGUUGAGCUGCAUUGGCGGGAUUUCGCCGUCUUCGUUUCUCUUUCUUCGCGGACGAACACGCGCUGGGGCUGCAACCUUGCAGAAUCCCUGGUCCUUGACUGGAUAUGCGUUAGGGGCUUGUAGCUCAGUUGGUUAGAGCGCGCGCUUGAUAAGCGUGAGGUCGGAAGUUCAAGUCUUCCCAGGCCCACCACACUCAUCGAGUGAGCAUUCGUCUUCUGGUUACGGGGCCAUAGCUCAGCUGGGAGAGCGCGUGCUUUGCAAGCAUGAGGUCGUCGGUUCGAUCCCGUCUGGCUCCACCAGAUGGUUUGAUCACCGACUACUCAUACCGUCGUCCGCGAAACAUCACUUCGCACUUACUAGUCCGGAUGGACAGUAAGCUGCGUGAUUUCUGACAUCGUAAAGAGGAGAUCGAUCCGAGUUGGAUCGGGCAACAAGUAAUUGUUGCGCGAUACUCCAUUAUCUCCGGAUCAUUUCGGCGCUCGUGCGUCUUUUAGCGUAGCUCACAAGGCUGCAUUGAAAGACAAGCGAGUUGUAAAUGAUCCUUUUAGCGAAGCUUGACCGCCUCGCUAUCGGAACGAUCUUACGAAGCAAGCUGGUCUUUCUAAUCAUUGUCCGGCUGCAGAUAGCGUUCAUCGAGGGCGCGUGCCGCAAGGUAAUUCUGCAGACAACAUUCUGCCGAGUGUGUGGACAUUGAUAAUGAGAGC
rnacentral:tRNA from 3 species